rnacentral:rRNA from 1 species
GACGAACGCUGGCGGCGUGCUUAACACAUGCAAGUCGAGCGGAGCGGCGAACGGGUGAGUAACGCGUGAGUAACUGCCCCCCUCUCUGGGAGAACAGUUGGAAACGGCUGCUAAUACCGGAUAGUGGGGGAUGACUCGCGUACUAUCAGCUUGUUGGUGGGGUAGGGGCGUACCAAGGCGCCGACGGGUGGCCGGCCUGAGAGGGUGACCGGCCACAUUGGGCUGAGGUACGGCCCAAACACCUACGGGAGGCAGCAGGGGGGAAUAUUGCACAAGGGGGGAAACCCGGAUGCAGGAACGCCGCGGGCGGGAUGACGGCCUUCGGGUUGUAAACCGCUUUCAUACAUGACGCGGUAGUGGCAGAAGAAGCACCGGCUAACUACGUGCCAGCAGCCGCGGUAAUUC